rnacentral:rRNA from 1 species
GAUGAACGCUAGCGGCAGGCCUAAUACAUGCAAGCUGAACGGUAAAUAUUGUAGCAAUACAAUAUGAGAGUAGCGUAAGGGUGCGUAACACGUAUGCAAUCUGCCCUGUACAGGAGGAUAGCUCGGGGAAACCCGGAUUAAUACUCCGUAAUAUUAUUGGGAGGCAUCUCUUGAUAAUUAAAGUCGCAAGACGGUAUGGGAUGAGCAUGCGUCUGAUUGGCUAGUUGGUGGUGUAACGGACCACCAAGGCGAUGAUCAGUAGGGGAACUGAGAGGUUGAUCCCCCACACUGGCACUGAGAUACGGGCCAGACUCCUACGGGAGGCAGCAGUAGGGAAUAUUGGUCAAUGGAUGCAAGUCUGAACCAGCCAUGCCGCGUGCAGGAAGAAGGCCUUCUGGGUUGUAAACUGCUUUUGCCGGGGGAUAAAAAGUCCAUGCGUGGACAAUUGAAGGUACCCGGUGAAUAAGCCACGGCUAACUACGUAGCC